UACGAAGGGGGCUAGCGUUGCUCGGAAUCACUGGGCGUAAAGCGCACGUAGGCGGAUUGUUAAGUCAGGGGUGAAAUCCUGGAGCUCAACUCCAGAACUGCCUUUGAUACUGGCGAUCUCGAGUCCGGGAGAGGUGAGUGGAACUGCGAGUGUAGAGGUGAAAUUCGUAGAUAUUCGCAAGAACACCAGUGGCGAAGGCGGCUCACUGGCCCGGUACUGACGCUGAUGAGCGAAAGCCAGGGGAGCAAACGGG
rnacentral:rRNA from 1 species